rnacentral:rRNA from 1 species
UUAAGCGACUAAGCGUACACGGUGGAUGCCCUGGCAGUCAGAGGCGAUGAAGGACGUGCUAAUCUGCGAUAAGCGUCGGUAAGGUGAUAUGAACCGUUAUAACCGGCGAUUUCCGAAUGGGGAAACCCAGUGUGAUUCGUCACACUAUCAUUAACUGAAUCCAUAGGUUAAUGAGGCGAACCGGGGGAACUGAAACAUCUAAGUACCCCGAGGAAAAGAAAUCAACCGAGAUUCCCCCAGUAGCGGCGAGCGAACGGGGAGGAGCCCAGAGCCUGAAUCAGUGUGUGUGUUAGUGGAAGCGUCUGGAAAGGCGCGCGAUACAGGGUGACAGCCCCGUACACAAAAAUGCACAUAUUGUGAGCUCGAUGAGUAGGGCGGGACACGUGGUAUCCUGUCUGAAUAUGGGGGGACCAUCCUCCAAGGCUAAAUACUCCUGACUGACCGAUAGUGAACCAGUACCGUGAGGGAAAGGCGAAAAGAACCCCGGCGAGGGGAGUGAAAAAGAACCUGAAACCGUGUACGUACAAGCAGUGGGAGCCUCUUUAUGGGGUGACUGCGUACCUUUUGUAUAAUGGGUCAGCGACUUAUAUUCUGUAGCAAGGUUAACCGAAUAGGGGAGCCGAAGGGAAACCGAGUCUUAACUGGGCGUUAAGUUGCAGGGUAUAGACCCGAAACCCGGUGAUCUAGCCAUGGGCAGGUUGAAGGUUGGGUAACACUAACUGGAGGACCGAACCGACUAAUGUUGAAAAAUUAGCGGAUGACUUGUGGCUGGGGGUGAAAGGCCAAUCAAACCGGGAGAUAGCUGGUUCUCCCCGAAAGCUAUUUAGGUAGCGCCUCGUGAAUUCAUCUCCGGGGGUAGAGCACUGUUUCGGCAAGGGGGUCAUCCCGACUUACCAACCCGAUGCAAACUGCGAAUACCGGAGAAUGUUAUCACGGGAGACACACGGCGGGUGCUAACGUCCGUCGUGAAGAGGGAAACAACCCAGACCGCCAGCUAAGGUCCCAAAGUCAUGGUUAAGUGGGAAACGAUGUGGGAAGGCCCAGACAGCCAGGAUGUUGGCUUAGAAGCAGCCAUCAUUUAAAGAAAGCGUAAUAGCUCACUGGUCGAGUCGGCCUGCGCGGAAGAUGUAACGGGGCUAAACCAUGCACCGAAGCUGCGGCAGCGACACUAUGUGUUGUUGGGUAGGGGAGCGUUCUGUAAGCCUGCGAAGGUGUACUGUGAGGUAUGCUGGAGGUAUCAGAAGUGCGAAUGCUGACAUAAGUAACGAUAAAGCGGGUGAAAAGCCCGCUCGCCGGAAGACCAAGGGUUCCUGUCCAACGUUAAUCGGGGCAGGGUGAGUCGACCCCUAAGGCGAGGCCGAAAGGCGUAGUCGAUGGGAAACAGGUUAAUAUUCCUGUACUUGGUGUUACUGCGAAGGGGGGACGGAGAAGGCUAUGUUGGCCGGGCGACGGUUGUCCCGGUUUAAGCGUGUAGGCUGGUUUUCCAGGCAAAUCCGGAAAAUCAAGGCUGAGGCGUGAUGACGAGGCACUACGGUGCUGAAGCAACAAAUGCCCUGCUUCCAGGAAAAGCCUCUAAGCAUCAGGUAACAUCAAAUCGUACCCCAAACCGACACAGGUGGUCAGGUAGAGAAUACCAAGGCGCUUGAGAGAACUCGGGUGAAGGAACUAGGCAAAAUGGUGCCGUAACUUCGGGAGAAGGCACGCUGAUAUGUAGGUGAAGUCCCUUGCGGAUGGAGCUGAAAUCAGUCGAAGAUACCAGCUGGCUGCAACUGUUUAUUAAAAACACAGCACUGUGCAAACACGAAAGUGGACGUAUACGGUGUGACGCCUGCCCGGUGCCGGAAGGUUAAUUGAUGGGGUUAGCGGUAACGCGAAGCUCUUGAUCGAAGCCCCGGUAAACGGCGGCCGUAACUAUAACGGUCCUAAGGUAGCGAAAUUCCUUGUCGGGUAAGUUCCGACCUGCACGAAUGGCGUAAUGAUGGCCAGGCUGUCUCCACCCGAGACUCAGUGAAAUUGAACUCGCUGUGAAGAUGCAGUGUACCCGCGGCAAGACGGAAAGACCCCGUGAACCUUUACUAUAGCUUGACACUGAACAUUGAGCCUUGAUGUGUAGGAUAGGUGGGAGGCUUUGAAGUGUGGACGCCAGUCUGCAUGGAGCCGACCUUGAAAUACCACCCUUUAAUGUUUGAUGUUCUAACGUUGGCCCCUGAUCGGGGUUGCGGACAGUGUCUGGUGGGUAGUUUGACUGGGGCGGUCUCCUCCUAAAGAGUAACGGAGGAGCACGAAGGUUGGCUAAUCCUGGUCGGACAUCAGGAGGUUAGUGCAAUGGCAUAAGCCAGCUUGACUGCGAGCGUGACGGCGCGAGCAGGUGCGAAAGCAGGUCAUAGUGAUCCGGUGGUUCUGAAUGGAAGGGCCAUCGCUCAACGGAUAAAAGGUACUCCGGGGAUAACAGGCUGAUACCGCCCAAGAGUUCAUAUCGACGGCGGUGUUUGGCACCUCGAUGUCGGCUCAUCACAUCCUGGGGCUGAAGUAGGUCCCAAGGGUAUGGCUGUUCGCCAUUUAAAGUGGUACGCGAGCUGGGUUUAGAACGUCGUGAGACAGUUCGGUCCCUAUCUGCCGUGGGCGCUGGAGAACUGAGGGGGGCUGCUCCUAGUACGAGAGGACCGGAGUGGACGCAUCACUGGUGUUCGGGUUGUCAUGCCAAUGGCACUGCCCGGUAGCUAAAUGCGGAAGAGAUAAGUGCUGAAAGCAUCUAAGCACGAAACUUGCCCCGAGAUGAGUUCUCCCUGACUCCUUGAGAGUCCUGAAGGAACGUUGAAGACGACGACGUUGAUAGGCCGGGUGUGUAAGCGCAGCGAUGCGUUGAGCUAACCGGUACUAAUGAACCGUGAGGCUUAACCUU